rnacentral:rRNA from 1 species
GACGAACGCUGGCGGCGUGCUUAACACAUGCAAGUCGAACGGAAAGGCCCUGCUUUUGUGGGGUGCUCGAGUGGCGAACGGGUGAGUAACACGUGAGUAACCUGCCCUUGACUUUGGGAUAACUUCAGGAAACUGGGGCGAAUACCGGAUAGGAGCUCCUGCUGCAUGGUGGGGGUUGGAAAGUUUCGGCGGUUGGGGUUGGACUCGCGGCUUAUCAGCAUGUCGGUGGGGUAGUGGCUUACCAAGGCUUUGACGGGUAGACGGCCUGAGAGGGUGACCGGCGCCCUGGGGCCUGCGGUACGGCCCAGACGCCUACGGGCGGCAGCGGUGGGGAAUAUUGCAGAGUGGGCGGAAGCCUGAUGCAGCAACGCUGCGUGCGGGAUGCCGGGCUGCGGGUUGUAAACCGAUUUCGCAUGUGCCGAAGAGUUAGUGACGGUAAUGGGUCAAGAAGCACCGGCUAACUACGUG